rnacentral:rRNA from 1 species
UGCCAGCCGCCGCGGUAAUACGGAGGGGGUUAGCGUUGUUCGGAAUUACUGGGCGUAAAGCGUACGUAGGCGGACUAUUAAGUCGAGGGUGAAAUCCCAGGGCUCAACCUCGGAACUGCAUUUGAAACUGGAAGUCUGGAGUUCAGGAGAGGUUAGCGGAAUACCGAGUGUAGAGGUGAAAUUCGUAGAUAUUCGGUGGAACACCAGUGGCGAAGGCGGCUAACUGGACUGAUACUGACGCUGAGGUGCGAAAGUGUGGGGAGCAAACAGGAUUAGAUA